rnacentral:rRNA from 1 species
UACGAAGGGGGGCUAGCGUUGUUCGGAAUUACUGGGCGUAAAGCGCACGUAGGCGGACUACUAAGUCAGGGGUGAAAUCCCGGGGCUCAACCCCCGGAACUGCCUUUGAUACUGAUAGUCUCGAGUCCGGAAGAGGUGAGUGGAAUUCCGAGUGUAGAGGUGAAAUUCGUAGAUAUUCGGAGGAACACCAGUGGCGAAGGCGGCUCACUGGUCCGGUACUGACGCUGAGGUGCGAAAGCGUGGGGAGCAAACAGG